rnacentral:lncRNA from 1 species
AAUUGGACAAAUUGGAUUAUUUUUUUGAUGUGAUUUUUUGUUAUUUUUGUUAUUUUUUUAUAAAGGCAAUAUUGAGGGAAUGAGGAAUUGAACCUAGAACCUUGAGUGCAUGGAUAAUUAUUUUUAAUCACUUAAAUUACAAACUCCAAACUUAUGUUAAUUAUAUAUAUAUAAUAUUGAAAAUCGGUUAAAAAAACCAAACUGAAGUUCGACUUGGGCAGGUUGAAAGGUCCAUCUCAACCCCAAAAUUCACAGGGUUGAAAAUCGGAAUUCACAGGGUUGGAUCAAG